ensembl:lncRNA
GAUUGGAUACAACACCCACAAACAUGCGGUGAGUCACAGUUUUUCUCUCUGUUAUGAAUGCUUUCUCCUCAGGGAGAGCAGGGACCAGCGGGUGAGCCUGGUGAGAGAGGAACAAGGGUAAUGUCUCCAUGUUCUACCCAACUCUUAUCAUUUCUCUGCACACAAGUUUGAAAUAUGCUGCACUGUUGGUUGGAGUGGAUAUUUCUUGGCUUAUCCUCACUCUAUACUGUGACUGUAGGGCCCACUGGGGUUACCGGGACGACCAGGGGACCCAGCAGAGAAAGGAGAUACCGGGAACAUUGGUUUGCCUGUAAGCAUUUUCUGACUUUACUAUCAAGCGCCAUUUUGUUUGUAAAACUUUAUUAGUCACUGUCAAAGAUACAAACCUGAUUGAUUUGAAUUGCUCGGCGUGGUUGGAUAUGUUCAGCGAUAUGAUUUCCUCUUUGUUUCAGGGAACGGAGGGAAAGAAAGGAGAGCCUGUAGGUGUACAUUCACAACAACAUGACAGACAUGUAUCACUGUAUGCAGCGGUUGGCUGACUCUCCAUCACACUUGGUUUAGGUCAAUGUCUCACGUCACUGACUUCGCCCAUUGUUCAGGAACAUCAACACUCUUGUGUUUCUAAUUAUAUUCCUAGCCUGAUAAAUGCACAAAUGAAAAAUCCCAGCUUUAUUAAUCAUGUUAUGUUCCCCUUGAGUGAGUGUUGCAUCUCCCAUCAGUAUUGUGAUGGUGAUGCAGGACUGCUCAGCUCGCACAGUGUGUUUACUAGCCGCUAGUUGACCGCACAUCCCUCUUGUUUUGUUUUGUUCCCAUGGUCUCGCCUCUGAAGGGAAAACCAGGACCUCCGGGAGGCGCGCAAUUCAGUUCAGACAACAAUAUCCUGACUAGGGUGAUCAAGGGUGAACCAGGACAUCCCGGAGAGCCCGGUCUCAGAGGGGAGACAGGUCUGCCUGGACAAAGGGUGAGUGUGCUACUUAGAGGUCACAGGUCAUGUUUGGCAGGUCAUGGUAAUAAUAGCACUGUAUUCUUCUCUCUGUAGGGUCCUGAUGGAAAACCAGGAUCUCCAGGAACGGUAUGACCACAUGAGUAACAAUGAAGAGCUCUGUCGCUAAGUUGUGUCGCUAAGACUUUUCAAACGUUCUGUGAACAGGCUGAUAGAAGCUAUGUAUGUAAUACCACAACGUUGAAUGACCUCUAAAUAACUGUGACCUACAGGGUGAAGGUUGAGGGCUUAUAUUGGUAUUACAUUGUUGUAACUGAUGUUUACAUCUGACCCCUGAUAACAUGUUUGACAGGGAGGGUCUGGGUCAGGGAGAGAUGGUCUGGAUGGGUUACCAGGAAAACCUGGAUCCAAGGUUUGGACACCUCAUUCCCUCACUUCCUUUCACAUCUGUUGUUGUUAUUCUAAUGUGAACACACACAAACAUACACGUACAUAGACUAGAUGUAUUGUUGUAGUUUGUCAGCAUAACAGAAUCAUUAUCACAGUAAGAGUUCACAUUGACAAAAUUGGGUGUUGAUCGUUCAAUCCAUAAAAAGUUGUAGCAGAUAAUCAAGGUGUUGUGCUUUGAAUGGUUUCCUGUCUGCAGGGUGACCCAGGAAAGACAGGCGAGCCAGGAACGGUGAGUGCAGUAUUCAUACCCUUUGAAUAAACACAUUUUGCUCUAAUUCCUUUAAUCAGAGGAUAACUGCAGUCCUACAGAGCUACAGGGUGUGUUUAAAGCCCAGCUCUGAUAAACCUGAUUAAACCAAUUGUGGUUUAAAUUAAAGGCCGUUGUUAGCUGAUGAUCAGUUGAUUCAGUGAGUGUUACUGCUUGGUGAGACAAAACCCUGCAUUGGCUGUGGUUCUCUAGGACUACAGCAGUUUCCCUCUUGCAUUACACUACAUUACAUUGAUUGAUGAUGUGCAUGGACUAACCAAGUACUUCAGAAGAUGUUUUGGGUUACGUUGGGAUUAGACAGUCAAGCUAGCUCACAAUGUUUUUCUAAGUUAUAUUCUUCAAGAAUCAAACAGUAGGUAUUAUUCAUUUAAAUGAUCAAAAACCAUACAGUUGGUGGUGUGACUUUCAUAAUUUACACGUUUAAGGCUUCUGAUGAGAAAGCCUUCUGCUGUGCAUAGUAUGUGGACUUCUCUCAGCAGGAACUUGUCACAGGUUCACCUACUGUAUAGGGGAUUGGUGAUUACAGCCUAUUCAUUGAACAUUAUGUACUAGCAAUGUUGUACUAGGUUGAUGAUUGUUAGUCAUCCAUGAGUCAUUUAACAAUAUCAUAAUGUAUACAGAGGGCAAGGAACCCCACUUAUAGAUGGGAAACGUGUGUGUGUGUGCGUGCGUGUGUGCGUGUGUGUGUGUGUGCGUGUGUGUGUGUGCAUGCGAGUGUGUGUGCAUCCGUGCGUGUGUGUGUGUGUGCGUGUGCAUGUGUGCGUGCCUGUGUGUGUCGGUCUGAGCAGAGGGGAGAGAAAGGAGACCAAGGCAGGAUGGGGAUUGCUGGAAUGCCUGGUUUACCUGGGACCCCAGUGAGUAUGUUUCUGUCAUCAUUAUAACAUACACAUACAGUAAUUCAAUUUGACAUGACUUAAUAUACAGUUGAAGUCGGAAGUUUACAUACACUUAGGUCAUUAAAACUCGUUUUUCAACCACUCCACAAAUUCCUUGUUAACAAACUAUAGUUUUGGCAAGUCGGUUAGGACAUCUA